rnacentral:rRNA from 1 species
GAUGAACGCUGACGGCGUGCCUAAUACAUGCAAGUCGAGCGAACGGACGAGAAGCUUGCUUCUCUGAUGUUAGCGGCGGACGGGUGAGUAACACGUGGAUAACCUACCUAUAAGACUGGGAUAACUUCGGGAAACCGGAGCUAAUACCGGAUAAUAUUUUGAACCGCAUGGUUCAAAAGUGAAAGACGGUCUUGCUGUCACUUAUAGAUGGAUCCGCGCUGCAUUAGCUAGUUGGUAAGGUAACGGCUUACCAAGGCAACGAUGCAUAGCCGACCUGAGAGGGUGAUCGGCCACACUGGAACUGAGACACGGCCCAGACUCCUACGGGAGGCAGCAGUAGGGAAUCUUCCGCAAUGGGCGAAAGCCUGACGGAGCAACGCCGCGUGAGUGAUGAAGGUCUUCGGAUCGUAAAACUCUGUUAUUAGGAAAGAACAUAUGUGUAAGUAACUGUGCACAUCUUGACGGUACCUAAUCAGAAAGCCACGGCUAACUACGUG